GCAGUUAUGAUGAAAUGGUAGACAUAGGACGCUUAAAAUGUCCGGGCUACGCCGUGUAGGUUCGACUCCUGCCAACCGUA
rnacentral:tRNA from 1 species